rnacentral:ncRNA from 2 species
UGUUGGAACUGGGGGAGUCGGUGUCCCGGCUGAGAGGAGGCGUUAAGCCUCGACCCCUGGAACCUGAUCCGGAUCAUGCCGGCGCAGGGAAGUUGCUCCUUUUCCUA